rnacentral:rRNA from 1 species
UGACCUACGGGUGGCAGCAGUGAGGAAUAUUGGUCAAUGGGCGCAGGCCUGAACCAGCCAAGUAGCGUGAAGGAUGACUGCCCUAUGGGUUGUAAACUUCUUUUAUAUGGGAAUAAAGUUUUCCACGUGUGGAAUUUUGUAUGUACCAUAUGAAUAAGGAUCGGCUAACUCCGUGCCAGCAGCCGCGGUAAUACGGAGGAUCCGAGCGUUAUCCGGAUUUAUUGGGUUUAAAGGGAGCGUAGGUGGACAGUUAAGUCAGUUGUGAAAGUUUGCGGCUCAACCGUAAAAUUGCAGUUGAUACUGGCUGUCUUGAGUACAGUAGAGGUGGGCGGAAUUCGUGGUGUAGCGGUGAAAUGCUUAGAUAUCACGAAGAACUCCGAUUGCGAAGGCAGCUCACUGGACUGCAACUGACACUGAUGCUCGAAAGUGUGGGUAUCAAACAGGAUUAGAUACCCGAGUAGUCGUUCGAC